rnacentral:rRNA from 1 species
AAUGCACCUAGUCACGGCGAGUGAAGCGGGAAGAGCUCAUGUUGUAAAUCUGGAUGAGGGUUCCUCGUCCCGAAUUGUAGUCUAGAGAUGCGUGCUCAGCUACUCUCCAGGGCUAAGUCUGUUUGUGAAAGACAGUGUCAUGGACGGUGAUAACCCGGUUCUUGCCUUGGAUGUUGUAGCGUUUUGAGCCGUCCUCAACGAGUCGAGUUGCUUGGGAUUGCAGCUCUAAGUGGGUGGUAAAUUCCAUCUAAAGCUAAAUAUUGGUGGGAGACCGAUAGCGAACAAGUACCGUGAGGGAAAGAUGAAAAGAACUUUGAAAAGAGAGUUAAAUAGUACCUGAAACUGCUGAAAGGGAAGCGAAUGAAGUCAGUGUUGCUCUUUGUGCUCUGCAUCCUCCCUGCGGGGAUUGUGUAUCGAGGACUUUGAGCUUGUCAGGAUGAGUUCUCUGCCGCGGGAUAUGUUUUGUAUGCUGGAUGCUUUUUGCGGAACAUACAUUCUCUGUCGUGGCUUGGACUGAGGUUCCAUCUUGCCGUUGCCUGUGCGUUCCUCUCCCGUUGCUGUCUCUGUUCUACUGCUUGCAGUGCUCAGUUGCAGUAGUUGGACUGUGCGUAUUAUGCAUGCAAGGUCAGGAUCCUGACGAAAUGGCUUUAUUUACCCCGUCUUGAAACACGGACCAAGGGAGUCUAACAUACGUGCGAGUACUUUGGGUGACAAACCAAUGUGCGCAAUGAAAGUAAAGGCUGGCUUCCGUCAGCUCAGUGGGAUCCGUUUGGAGCACCAUCGACCGACCAUUAUGCCUUCGGGCUAAAGGUUUGAGUGUGAGCAUUUAUGUUGGGACCCGAAAGAUGGUGAACUAUGCCUGAAUAGGGCGAAGCCAGGGAAACUCUGGUGGAGGCUCGUACAUCGU